CAGCAGUUCAAGUUGCAUCCCUUUUUAUUUGGCCUAAAACGUCCGUAGCCGGCUCGGUAAAUCUCUCGUUAAAUCCAGCGUCCUAAGCGUUGGGCUGCGAGAGAGACUGUCGAACUAGAGGGUGGGAGAGGUCAGCGGUAUUUCUGGGGUAGGGGCGAAAUCCAUUGAUCCCAGGAGGACCACCAGUGGCGAAGGCUGCUGACUAGAACACGCCUGACGGUGAGGGACGAAAGCUGGGGUAGCGAAUCGGAUUAGAUACCCGAGUAGUCC
rnacentral:rRNA from 1 species